rnacentral:rRNA from 1 species
UACAGAGGGUGCAAGCGUUAUCCGGAAUCACUGGGUUUAAAGGGAGCGUAGGCGGACUUUUAAGUCAGUGGUGAAAGCUUGCAGCUUAACUGUAAAAUUGCCAUUGAAACUGAAAGUCUCGAGUAUGGUUGAGGUGACUGGAAUAUAUCAUGUAGCGGUGAAAUGCUUAGAUAUGAUAUAGAACACCAAUUGCGAAGGCAGGUCACUAAACCAUAACUGACGCUGAGGCUCGAAAGCGUGGGGAUCAAACAGG